rnacentral:lncRNA from 1 species
GCUUUGCAGAGUUGUUGCAGGGGUUAAAUGAGAUGUAUACAAAGUGCCAACGUAGAACAGGUUGCUGUUAUUCACAUUAAAAUGAAGGUCGGGCACCUAUCAUAGUCAGAAACGAAGUUUAUAUACUCUGGGGAUAUUUUAGGACUGAGUCCAGGCUGCAUAAGGGGGAGGGCUGUCCCAGGAGGGGCCCAGCAACAGGCUCCUUGGAGACUGAGUUGGGUGUGGCCCUGGAUAAUCCAUCACACUGGCCUCCCCAUUCAGACCCCUAUCUUAGCCCCACCUCGCAGUUCUGGCCCUUCAUGUAUCUCCCCUGCUCUGCAAACUAAUGCCUCUGCCUCUCUCUGUCACCCGCCCGCCUGUGGCCUCUACCCUGCCCUUCCUGGCCCCAGGGAAGAGGAGGAGGAGGAGGAGACUGAGGAAGAGGAAGAGGAAGACGCUCACCAGUUCUGCUGUCCGGCCUCCGAGUGCAGUAGUCCCUCCUCUCGGUAACUGAGAGGACAAGGGCCAUUUUCUAUGCAGAAGCAAAAGCCUUAACCAGCCCCCCACCCAGCCCCUGUGGAUCCCCCAUGGGACCCUGUCCCCUGCUUCAGGAAUCAAAUGGGCUAGCAUUGUGCCCCUUCUUCCCCUACUUCCUUCUUGGAACCCCCUCCCACUACUGUCUCCCCUGGGCUCCAGCCCCGGAAUUAAAAAGAGCUGGAGCCCUAGGUCUGACUAAAAUGUGGGAGAAGCAAAGCUUGGAGCUUGGAGCUUGGAAUCCCAACCCUCCUGCACAUGCACUCCCACUUCCCACUUCCCGAUUCCCGGGCACCCUGGAGCCUGCCACUCCUGGAGAGGUCUCCAAAUGACAUCCCAAGGACCUACCUCUGUCCUCUGUGAGCACAAACAGAGAUGCAGGGUGCCUAGGGCUCAGAGGACCAGACGGGGACAGGACCCAGCCUGCCUAGAUCCCUGUCGUUCGUCCCCUUGCUGUGGCCAUUGCUGCCAUUUCCUCCACUGCUUGAAGGCCUUGCCCCAUGCCCCUUGCCACUCCCAUAGUGCUCUGUAAAUAUGAUCAGGAGGAAAAGGCCUUUCAGAGUGUGUGUUGCUGUGUACAAAGGAAUUUCCAUCAAUAAAAGCUGAUCUCUUCUCUCUGUCUGAUGUA